rnacentral:misc_RNA from 1 species
UACAGAGGUCUCAAGCGUUGUUCGGAUUCAUUGGGCGUAAAGGGUGCGUAGGCGGCAAUGCAAGUCGGGUGUGAAAUUCUGUGGCUUAACCUCAGACCUGCAUCCGAUACUGUAUAGCUUGAGUUCUAUAGAGGAGACUGGAAUUUACGGUGUAGCAGUGAAAUGCGUAGAUAUCGUAAGGAAGACCGGUUGCGAAAGCGAGUCUCUGGAUAGUAACUGACGCUGAGGCACGAAGGCCAGGGGAGCAAACGGG